AGCGAACGCUGGCGGCAGGCCUAACACAUGCAAGUCGAACGAUCCUUCGGGAUAGUGGCGGACGGGUGAGUAACACGUGGGAACGUACCUUUAGGUUCGGGAUAACUCAGGGAAACUUGAGCUAAUACCGGAUGUGCCCUUUUGGGGAAAGAUUUAUCGCCUUUAGAGCGGCCCGCGUUAGAUUAGCUAGUUGGUGAGGUAAAGGCUCACCAAGGCUCCGAUCUAUAGCUGGUCUGAGAGGAUGAUCAGCCACACUGGGACUGAGACACGGCCCAGACUCCUACGGGAGGCAGCAGUGGGGAAUCUUGCGCAAUGGGCGAAAGCCUGACGCAGCCAUGCCGCGUGAAUGAUGAAGGUCUUAGGAUUGUAAAAUUCUUUUAGCAGGGACGAUAAUGACGGUACCUGCAGAAAAAGCCCCGGCUAACUUCGUGCCAGCCGCCGCGGUAAAAC
rnacentral:rRNA from 1 species